rnacentral:rRNA from 1 species
ACGCUGGCGGCGUGCCUAAUACAUGCAAGUAGAACGCUGAAGAGAGGAGCUUGCUCUUCUUGAAUGAGUUGCGAACGGGUGAGUAACGCGUAGGUAAGCUGCCUUGUAGCGGGGGAUAACUAUUGGAAACGAUAGCUAAUACCGCACAACAAUGGGUGACACAUGUCAUUUAUUUGAAAGGGGCAAUUGCUCCACUACAAGAUGGACCUGCGUUGUAUUAGCUAGUAGGUGAGGUAACGGCUCACCUAGGCGACGAUACAUAGCCGACCUGAGAGGGUGAUCGGCCACACUGGGACUGAGACACGGCCCAGACUCCUACGGGAGGCAGCAGUAGGGAAUCUUCGGCAAUGGGGGCAACCCUGACCGAGCAACGCCGCGUGAGUGAAGAAGGUUUUCGGAUCGUAAAGCUCUGUUGUAAGUCAAGAACGAGUGUGGGAGUGGAAAGUUCACACUGUGACGGUAGCUUACCAGAAAGGGACGGCUAACUACGUGCCAGCAGCCGCGGUAAUACGUAGGUCCCGAGCGUUGUCCGGAUUUAUUGGGCGUAAAGCGAGCGCAGGCGGUUUGAUAAGUCUGAAGUUAAAGGCUGUGGCUCAACCAUAGUUCGCUUUGGAAACUGUCAAACUUGAGUGCAGAAGGGGAGAGUGGAAUUCCAUGUGUAGCGGUGAAAUGCGUAGAUAUAUGGAGGAACACCGGUGGCGAAAGCGGCUCUCUGGUCUGUAACUGACGCUGAGGCUCGAAAGCGUGGGGAGCGAACAGGAUUAGAUACCCUGGUAGUCCACGCCGUAAACGAUGAGUGCUAGGCGUUGGAUCCUUUCCGGGAUUCAGUGCCGCAGCUAACGCAUUAAGCACUCCGCCUGGGGAGUACGACCGCAAGGUUGAAACUCAAAGGAAUUGACGGGGGCCCGCAC